GUAGUUCAGUUGGUUAGAAUACCGGCCUGUCACGCCGGGGGUCGCGGGUUCGAGUCCCGUCCACUCCGCCA
rnacentral:tRNA from 5 species